rnacentral:rRNA from 1 species
UUCCGGUUGAUCCUGCCGGACCUGACUGCUAUCGGAUUGAUACUAAGCCAUGCGAGUCAUUGUAGCAAUACAAGGCAGACGGCUCAGUAACGCGUAGUCAACCUACCCUAUGGACGGGAAUAACCUCGGGAAACUGAGAAUAAUGCCCGAUAGAACAUUAUGCCUGGAAUGGUUUAUGUUCCAAAUGAUUUAUCGCCGCAGGAUGGGACUGCGGCCUAUCAGUUUGUUGGUGAGGUAAUGGCCCACCAAGACUAUUACAGGUACGGGCUCUGAGAGGAGUAGCCCGGAGAUGGGUACUGAGACACGGACCCAGGCCCUAUGGGGCGCAGCAGGCGAGAAAACUUUGCAAUGUGCGGAAGCACGACAAGGUUAAUCCGAGUGGUUUCUGCUAAAGGAACCUUUUGACAGUCCUAGAAACACUGUUGAAUAAGGGGUGGGCAAGUUCUGGUGUCAGCCGCCGCGGUAAAACCAGCACCUCAAGUGGUCAGGAUGAUUAUUGGGCCUAAAGCAUCCGUAGCCGGCUCUGUUAGUUUUCGGUUAAAUCUGUACGCUCAACGUACAGGCUGCCGGAAAUACUGCAGAGCUAGGGAGUGGGAGAGGUAGACGGUACUCGGUAGGAAGGGGUAAAAUCCUUUGAUCUAUUGAUGACCACCUGUGGCGAAGGCGGUCUACCAGAACACGUCCGACGGUGAGGGAUGAAAGCUGGGGGAGCAAACCGGAUUAGAUACCCGGGUAGUCCCAGCUGUAAACUAUGCAAACUCAGUGAUGCAUUGGCUUGUGGCCAAUGCAGUGCUGCAGGGAAGCCGUUAAGUUUGCCGCCUGGGAAGUACGUACGCAAGUAUGAAACUUAAAGGAAUUGGCGGGGCAGCAC